UUUCCGUAGGUGAACCUGCGGAAGGAUCAUUACUGAGUGAGGGCCCCUCGGGGUCCAACCUCCCACCCGUGUUUAACGAACCUUGUUGCUUCGGCGGGCCCGCCUCACGGCCGCCGGGGGGCAUCUGCCCCCGGGCCCGCGCUCGCCGAAGCCACCUGUGAACGCUGUCUGAAGUAUGCAGUCUGAGACAAUUAUUAAAUUAAUUAAAACUUUCAACAACGGAUCUCUUGGUUCCG
rnacentral:misc_RNA from 1 species